CUAUAUAACUUGGGGAGUUACCAUGACCACCAAAGUGGUUUUCCAGAGGCGAGCCUUAUCCAUUGCACUCAAGAUAUGCUAAGCUCUGCCAUUUUUCCUCUACAAAAAUAAUUCAACCGCAUAAUUUAAGGCCAUGGGGUACUGCAUUCGUGAUCUCCCUGA